rnacentral:misc_RNA from 1 species
UCGUACAACCGAGGUGCGAGGGCUGUCGCUGACCCUCAAAGGUCGUGCACGCCUGAGUGCUCUCACACAAUCCAUCUCACCUUUGUGCAUCACCGCGUGGGUCCCCCUUUGCGGGGAGGGCUUGCGUUUUCACAUCAAACUUGAUACAGUGUAGAAUGUUUCAUUUGCGGUCACACGCAAUCAAUA